rnacentral:rRNA from 1 species
UACGUAGGGUGCUAGCGUUAAUCGGAAUUACUGGGCGUAAAGCGUGCGCAGGCGGUUCUCCCAGUCCGUUGUGAAAGCCCCGGGCUCAACCUGGGAAUGGCGGUGGAAACUAGGGGACUGGAAUCUGGCAGAGGGGGGUGGAAUGCCGCGUGUAGCAGUGAAAUGCGUAGAGAUGCGGAGGAACACCGAUGGCGAAGGCAGCCCCCUGGGCUGAGAUUGACGCUCAGGCACGAAAGCGUGGGGAGCAAACAGG